UACGUAGGGUGCGAGCGUUAAUCGGAAUUACUGGGCGUAAAGCGUGCGCAGGCGGUGAUGUAAGACAGAUGUGAAAUCCCCGGGCUCAACCUGGGACCUGCAUUUGUGACUGCAUCGCUAGAGUACGGCAGAGGGGGAUGGAAUUCCGCGUGUAGCAGCGAAAUGCGUAGAUAUGCGGAGGAACACCGAUGGCGAAGGCAAUCCCCUGGGCCUGUACUGACGCUCAUGCACGAAAGCGUGGGGAGCAAACAGG
rnacentral:rRNA from 1 species